rnacentral:misc_RNA from 1 species
AAAAGAUUAACAAUCAUGGAUCUAGAUUCUAGAAUUAAGGCCUAAGGCAGUACAGUAUAUCAAAAAUGGCCUAAUCUAUGGUCCUAUGACUAAAAACUCUCAGAGGGUGAGGAAGGGGCAUUUGCAUCAUGGCGCUCUAAGAUCAUAUCCAACUUAUUAUGGGCCUCUUGAAGACUCUCUUCCACUGUGCGAAAUCGGUUCUCAAUAGUGGUCCCAAUGCCCGCAUCUGAGCGUCAAAUGUGGCCUCCAUCCUCUGUAGGAAAGCAAGCACGGGGUAUGCAGGGGGUGGUGUGUGGGGAGGAACUCUGGUUGGGGAUCCUUGCAAGAUAGGGUCGGGUUCCUCCUGUUGCGGUUGCUGCUGUGCUACACCAGAGGAUUCACCUCUUUCUCUCCUUCCCGGUGUUGCUUGGGGGAUGACAUUCCCUGCAGCAUCAAUUAGAAGGCACUGGUCUCCCACUUGCCUGCAUAUCCCCAUGGAGAUACAGAUGGUCUGUUCGAUCCGAGAGGCACCAGCGAUUGGGCGUAAGAAGACAUGAGCAGGCACAAACCCAAAAUGAAAA